rnacentral:piRNA from 1 species
UUAGAUGAAGGUGAAAACAAGGU